GAUGAACGCUGGCGGCGUGCCUAAUACAUGCAAGUCGAGCGAACGGACGAGAAGCUUGCUUGUCUCAUGUUAGCGGCGGACGGGUGAGUAACACGUGUAUAACCUACCUAUAAGACUGGUAUAACUUCGGGAAACCGGAGCUAAUACCGUAUAAUAUCUUGAACCGCAUGGUUCAAAAGUGAAAGACGGUGUUGCUGUCACGUAUAGAUGGAUCCGCGCUGCAUUAGGUAGUUGGUAAGGUCACGGCUUACCAAGGCAACGAUGCAUAGCCGACCUGAGAGGCUGGUAGGCCACACUGGAAGUGAGCCGGCGUCCAGACUACUAAGGGAGGCCGCAGUCGGCAACCUUACGCAGCGGGCGAGAGCAUGACGGAGUAAGGCGACGCGAGUUAUGAAGGUCCUCGGAUCGUGAAACUCUGUUAUUAGGGAAAAACAUCUGUGUAAGUAACUGUGCACAGCUUGACGGUAACUAAUCAGAAAGCAACGGCUAACUACGUG
rnacentral:rRNA from 1 species